rnacentral:rRNA from 1 species
GACGAACGCUGGCGGCGUGCUUAACACAUGCAAGUCGAACGGCAAGGCCCUGCUUUCGUGGGGUGCUCGAGUGGCGAACGGGUGCGUAACACGAGUGUAACCUGCUCUACACUUUGGGAUAACUUCAGGAAACUGGGGUUAAUACAGUACAGCAGCUCCCCUUGCAUGGUGGGGGUUGGAAAGUUUCGGCGGUCGUGGAUGGACUAGCGGCUUACCGGUUUGUUGGUGGGGUAGGGGCUGACCAAGCGUGUGACGGGUCGCCGGCCUGAGAGGGUGACCGGCCACAUGGGGACUGAGAGACGGACCAGACGCCAACGGGAGGCAGCAGGCGGGAAUAUGGCACAAUGGGCGGGAGCCUGAUGCAGCAACGCCGCGUGCGGGAUGACGGCCUUCGGGUUGUAAACCGCUGUCGGCUGAGACGAAGCGUGAGUGACGGUAACCGAAGAAUAAGCACCGGCUAACUACGUG